AAAUUAUGAAAAAGAUGAGAAAGUGAAAUCUAGCGAAUCGAGAAUUCGAAUAUUUUUAAAGCUUGGCAAAACAAGGCGUUGCCCUCCAAGACAUAUCAAUUGAGCACACCAAAGCGCCUCCUCUGCUUUCUUCUAAGAAUCUCCGGGGGAUUCAUUCACACGGGUCUUCUGUGCCGGCGGCGUGAAGCUUUAAAGGAGCAACACGACGGUGGUGACACCACCACACAAUUGUUGCUGUUUAAACGACAAAACUGACUCACGAAGAACAACUAGUGAGGGAAAA
ensembl:ncRNA T19C4.22 ncRNA